UACGGAGGAUCCAAGCGUUAUCCGGAUUUAUUGGGUUUAAAGGGUGCGUAGGCGGCCCUGUAAGUCAGUGCUGAAAUAUCCCAGCUUAACUGGGAGGGUGGCAUUGAUACUGCGGGGCUAGAGUACAGAUGAGGUAGGCGGAAUUGACGGUGUAGCGGUGAAAUGCUUAGAUAUCGUCAAGAACACCUAUAGCGAAGGCAGCUUACUAGGCUGUAACUGACGCUGAGGCACGAAAGUGUGGGGAUCAAACAGG
rnacentral:rRNA from 1 species